rnacentral:rRNA from 1 species
UACGAAGGGGGCUAGCGUUGCUCGGAAUCACUGGGCGUAAAGGGCGCGUAGGCCGUCUAGCAAGUUGGAAGUGAAAGCCCAGGGCUCAACCCUGGAAUUGCUUUCAAAACUGCAAGACUAGAGUCCGGGAGAGGAUAGCGGAAUUUCCAGUGUAGUAGUGAAAUACGUAGAUAUUGGAAGGAACACCAGUGGCGCAAGCGGCUAUCUGGACCAGUACUGACGCUGAGGCACGAAAGCGUGGGGAUCAAACAGG